GGCCCUGGUGGUCACACGACCUCCUCUCUUGCAGCCUCCACCACGGCCCCAAAGGUCUUCCCUCUGGCCACCAGCUGUGGGACCACAUCUGACUCCAAAGCGGCCCUGGGCUGCCUGGUCUCUGGCUACUUCCCAGAGCCGGUGACUGUGUCCUGGAACUCAGGCGCCCUGACCAGUGACGUGCACACCUUCCCAUCCGUCCUGCAGUCCUCGGGGCUCUACUCCCUCAGCAGCAUGGUGACCGUGCCUGCCAGCAGCUUGGAGAGCCAGACCUACACCUGCAAUGUAGCCCACCCGGCCAGCCGCACCAAGGUGGACAAGAGAGUCGACCAGAAGUCCUGCCCCAAGUGUCCCAAAUGCCCAGCUCCUGAAAUCCCAGGAGGGCCGUCGGUCUUCAUCUUCCCCCCAAAACCCAAGGACACCCUCACGACCUCCCAGACGCCCGAGGUCACCUGCGUGGUGGUAGACGUGAGCCAGGACAGCCCUGAUGUCCAGUUCAGCUGGUAUGUGGAAAAUAAAGAGGUGAACACGGCCACGACAAAGCCAAAGGAAGAGCAGUUCAACAGCACCUACCGUGUGGUCAGCAUCCUCCCUGUCCACCACCAGGACUGGCUGAGUGGAAAGGAGUUCAAGUGUAAGGUCAACAACAGAGCCCUCCCGGCCCCCAUUGAGAGGACCAUCUCCAAGGCCAAAGGGCAGGCCCGCGAGCCACAGGUGUACGUCCUGCCCCCACACCAGGACGAACUGUCCAAGAACAGGGUCAGCGUGACCUGCCUGGUCAAAGACUUCUACCCACCUGACAUUGUCGUCGAGUGGCAGAGCAACGGAAGGCCAGAGCUGGCAGAGAAGUACAGCACCACCUCGCCCCAGCAGGACAGCAACGGGUCCUACUUCCUGUACAGCAAGCUCUCAGUGGAGACGAAUAGGUGGAAUCAGGGAGCGAGGUUCGCGUGUGAGGUGAUGCAUGAGGCUCUCCACAAUCACUACACUCAGAUAUCCAUCACCAAGUCUCUGGGUAAAUGAGCCACACGCCCGGCACCCCAGCUAGCUCUUGGUCCCUCCCUACAGGCUCUCAGGAUCCCACGAGGACACUGAGCCCCUACCCCUGUGUACACACCUCCCGGGCCCCCUGGCAUGAAAUAAAGCACCCAGCAUGGCCCUGGGACCCUGC